CAUCUUGAAGGAGCUGGUUAUUCCAGUGUCUAGAUAACAGCUAUAGAACACAGGGCUGAGACCAUUUUGGGAGAUGUGAUGGUUAGUUCUUCAAGUCUAUGCAAGAGUGUAAGGCUGAUGGAGAAAGUAGGGAUGAGGGCGUCAAUCUCAGAAAACUGUUGUGAAGAUGACAGACGAGAAGACCCUGCAAACGACUCAGCCUCAUGCCCAUCACAGAGGAAACUCACAGCAAACAGCAGGCCGACUGAGACGUUCAUAACGAGGAUGAAAAUUUCCCUAUUGCUUCAUCAAGGAAACAAACAAAGCUGGGUGAGCUGCAGAAAGAUCCAUGUGUGUUCCCUGCCUUCAGUCUAACCAUCCCUCCCAAACCUCCAUCACAGAAUCGCACGAAUA